ensembl:lncRNA
GCUGUAUCAAGAUGUGCAUUGAGCGUUAUGUUUGCUCUUCACAACAUAAAAACACUAAUUGAGGGCAAGUAGAAGACUUAUUGCUAAAUGUUACACUUACUACGGCAUCUUGGUGCAGUCACUGAUUUGUUUUAUGUAUGUGUAGCUUGAAAAUGUAUAGCAUCUCUGGAUGAAGCCCAGCCCCCUCUUCUGUCUCUUUGGACUUCAUAACAAAUGCUCUUCUUAUGUCCUACCUGGGUGUUUGACACACCUCAUGACUGCCUGUCUACCACUCCCAUACUAAUAGAGUCUAAUACUCUGUUUAUAUUUAAUUGUAGGAAUUACAUUAGUGUCUUUCCUGCUGUGGAACCAAAUGUACGUUCAUCAAUGUAUUGGAGCAUAUGGGAUAAGUCUGAUUACAGUACGUUUAUUCUCCCUGUUGAGUGGGAUGCAUCCUGGAGGCCAAAUCACAUACCGGAAUAAAUGCUGUGAAGAUCCCCUGCAGUGCUGGAAGCCCAUGUUAUGCUAGUGAUGUUCUGAAGGAUGUCUUGUGUGUACAACCAGUGGCUGAUAUGCACAAAACCCAUUUCUUUCAGAGCCUCAUGAUUUGUAUUUCUUUGUGCUUAGCACCUUGACUUCUGAGUUGAGGCCUUGGACUACCUCUCUGUUCUUGGACUUUUGCCUUUUGUGAAGUGAUGCUACAGAUCAGUGUCUUACUUCUGUCUGUACCUCUGAAGCCAUCCUUUUGAAAAUGAACAGAUGAAAAGGGUUACCUUUGUCCCUUGAAUACCAGAGGCAGUCAUUCACAUUUGGUCAAUUGCUGGUAAGGUUUCUGGUGUCAGCUCCAAAGCUGCUUGCAGUACAGAGGGAAGAGCUGUGCUUUAGUGUUCCUUUCCUGCUUGUGUAGCUUCUUAAUAAUUCCUAGUGGGGCAGAUCUUGCUAAGGCUUCACUAGGGAAGAAAGAUGAAAUUUCAGCUUCUGAACAUGUGAUGAAGAAAGAUACCAAGUUGUGACUCCUCUGUCAUCACAGUGAGCUGCUUUUGUUACAAAUGAGAUGUUAGGAGAAAUCAGUCAGGUUGUACUGGGGUGGUUGGAAAAUGGGGUUCCCCCAAAAGUCUGUUUGCCCACACCAAAGCCUUCUGCUGCUUGGGGUGGCAGCAAUGUGUCCCCUGAAUGUAACCCAGCCCCCGAAGUAUCUGCACUAAUGAAUGUGGGGCAGUGUGCGUAUCAGAUACAUCUGGCUCAUAAAUGUUUCA